rnacentral:rRNA from 1 species
UACGUAGGGUGCAAGCGUUGUCCGGAAUUAUUGGGCGUAAAGAGCUCGUAGGCGGUUUGUCGCGUCUGCCGUGAAAGUCCGGGGCUCAACUCCGGAUCUGCGGUGGGUACGGGCAGACUAGAGUGAUGUAGGGGAGACUGGAAUUCCUGGUGUAGCGGUGGAAUGCGCAGAUAUCAGGAGGAACACCGGUGGCGAAGGCGGGUCUCUGGGCAGUAACUGACGCUGAGGAGCGAAAGCGUGGGGAGCGAACAGG